rnacentral:rRNA from 1 species
AUUGAACGCUGGCGGCAUGCCUUACACAUGCAAGUCGAACGGCAGCACGGGGGCAACCCUGGUGGCGAGUGGCGAACGGGUGAGUAAUGCAUCGGAACGUGCCCAGUAGUGGGGGGUAACCCGGCGAAAGCCGGGCUAAUACCGCAUACGACCUACGGGUGAAAGCGGGGGAUCGCAAGGCCUCGCGCUAUUGGAGCGGCCGAUGUCUGAUUAGCUAGUUGGCGGGGUAAAGGCCCACCAAGGCGACGAUCAGUAGCUGGUCUGAGAGGACGACCAGCCACACUGGGACUGAGACACGGCCCAGACUCCUACGGGAGGCAGCAGUGGGGAAUUUUGGACAAUGGGCGCAAGCCUGAUUCAGCCAUGCCGCGUGCGGGAAGAAGGCCUUCGGGUUGUAAACCGCUUUUGGCAGGAACGAAACGGCGCAAGUUAAUACCUUGCGCUAAUGACGGUACCUGCAGAAUAAGCACCGGCUAACUACGUGCCAGCCGCCGCCGUAACAC